rnacentral:sRNA from 1 species
UUGAAAGAAACAGAGUAGUCGGAUUAAAGAUGUCAUGCGGGUGGAGAUUCAAAACCGUAGACCAUCAUCAUAAUGAUAGUCGUUAGAGGCUUGGAUUGAGCUGAGACGGUUCUAGACGGUUUUGUCGAUUAGUUUGAUUUAUUGAGCUAAUUGAGAGGGUAACUCACCGUGUCUUCUUGCAUUCCUCUCACACCAGAUAUGGUAGAGAGUAGUUUGGAAGACAUAACGAAGCAGAAAGAGGUUGAGCCAAGGAAUGCUUGUGUUAUGAAGUAUUGCGGCCAGCUGGUCCAGUUUGACGAGUAGUUGGAUGGAAGGAGGCGAUGUGCAAAAUCUUUCCAAACCGUUGAGGAGUAGGGGCAUGAGAAGAACAAAUGGUCUCUAAAAAUACACUUUUCUUAUUCUUUACAAUUAAAUCAGUCCUCAUUCCCCCACACGGCCACACCACAAUUAAUCUG